rnacentral:misc_RNA from 1 species
GAUAGGGUGUGAGACGCGAAUUUAUGAAUAUUAAACAGUUGCUGUUGUUGUAGAAAAAUUUGAUAUGUAGACCAUUAGCAAGUGUAACUCUUACCCCAUUUUUUUUUGCAUAUAUGUGGAGGUUGCGUGACUCGCAACAAAACAGGAAGCAGUAUCGUCACCAGACCAAACGAAUAAGCUGCCGGCAAGGUCCACCAUGAACUUGCAGAAAAAAAGAAAUGGUACCCUGUGCCUUAGACCAACAGCUUCUAUUUCUGUUGUAAGCUACCUAGUGAUUUGUAUUUGUUUGUAAAAUACUUCUUAUAGGGCUGACUGCAGCUACUACUGUUUAUGGCAAGUGUAUCCAUAUUGAGGCCUUUGAAAAGUUAAUGGAAGGCUUUGACAUAUGGAACAACUUCACCCCUUCACUUGCACGAGGCACAAAUUCUCAUGAUCACACUUACCAAGAUGAAAGUCAUGAAUUUUUGCCUUUAAAUGGCACUAAUUUUACCAUGUUUGUACGUGGAAAUAGAAAGCAUGGUGUGGUUGGUCUCCAGGGUGCCCUGAUCACUUGCUUUACCUGUGAUCAUCAGGUACAUGCCUGUGAACAUGGCACAAAAAUUUUGGAAUCUGAGGAAGUUUUGGAACACAAAAUGCCUGAUUUCCUAGUGGAUUUUUUUUGCUGAGAAAAAUUAUCGGGAAUCCACUGUAGUUUCAGAAAACACCUCCCGUAAAGAAUGGAAAUUAAGACCAGUGUCUUCGAAUAAAAUUCCAUUUCAACUAUCUACAGCCCAGAAAGAAAUAUUCUCCACUUUGGAAAAUGUGCUACAAAUAAAAAUGUCCUCUACUGAUCUUGUGCUGCUUACCCCCAGCUUACCUCCCUGCUGCCCAAAGUGUUCAUCUCAGUGCAUUGGUCAGCCAAGGAAAGUUUUGUGCUUUUUGAAAAAGCAAAUGUUGCAUUGUGAAGUAUUAUACUAUACUUGUGUUGACGAAGCCUGUGAUG